AAAUUUUACUUAACUGUAAUCUUAUUCUUAUCUAAGGGAAAACCUUAUACCAUUAUAGAUUAAUAAAAAUUUUAGGUUGGGGCGACCACGGAAUAAAGAAAAACCUCCGAGAUGAUAUUUUUAGAAAGACACUUCAAAAAAUAGAAAAAUCUAACAAAUUGAUCCAAUAAUUGAUCAACGAACCAAGUUACCCUAGGGAUAACAGCGCAAUCUCCUCCAAGAGUUCCUAUCGACGAGUGGGUUUACGACCUCGAUGUUGGAUCAGGACACCCAAAUGGUGCAGCAGCUAUUAAA
rnacentral:rRNA from 1 species